UCCAAUUAUUUCAUCAAAGAAAUAUUCCCUCUUCUGCCGCACACAUAUUCACCCACAAUUUGCAAAAGGAUUCCUCUAUGCCACAGUAAGCCAUAGAAGAACUGGGGUUUCUUGAUUCAUCUCUCUCAUGAUCGUUACCCACAAGUAAACCUCUCUCUCAUCGUCGUCUCUCUCACUAUCACCAACCAAUAUCACCAGGUAAUCUCUCUCUACUCUCUCUAUCUCUACCUCUUUUUCUUUAGGUUUUGAUUUCUUGUUGUUGAUGGUUGUUCUAAAAUCUAGAAGUCACAAAUAAACUUCAAAUUUUAUAGAUACAAGCCGAAUAUGCUUUUAAUUUGGUCAUGGUAAGUACAUUUUAUAUACCAAUAAUUACCUUCAUUAUAUUGUAGGAGAAUUUGCUUCUUUUUCCCCCAGAAGAAAAUAGAGUAGUGAUGGUGAAUCAUUUGUAUAUAGAUUACAAUUGGUAUUUCACGGAGAUUUUUGUUGGAGCUAUUUUUCCUUUUAUGUUACCAUGGCAUUAUCGUAAGAAACUGGAUUUCCUUGUUGUAAUGUUUCUUUCUCACAAAAGUCUUUUCUAGAAGGAUGUUUGGAAAUUAGUAAAUUAGUAAAUUUCUUUCAUUACAGUUUUUCAACAAAAUAAUAUUUUCUAGUGCAAACUUGAAAUGAAAUUAGUCACUUCACUGCUAAAUUGGAAAAAUAGAUAUACUCUCAAUUUGUUUAAUUUUCAUAACUAAAUCGUUAAGAGCAAUUGUUUAAACUGUUACUAGCAUUUUUUAUAUUUAGAAACUAUAUAGUUGUAGUUAUCCUCAUUUCCAUAUGACAAAAGUAUUCAUUUUAACAUAUUAGUUAAAGCCAUUUAGUCUGAGUUUUUGAAACAGGGAAAGUCAAGCAUUUUGGAACAUAUGAGAGUAUUACCCGAAUAUUGGAAUGGGUAAAGAGACUUAUGUACUCAUUUGAUAAAAACUUUACAUGUUUUCUUUUGGUUAUUUGGCCCUAUGUGAGAUUUAAACUUGUUUGUUUCAUUAUCUGUCAGUAGGGAUGGAGAAGUGAGAACAAGAUAAACUUUUCAUGAAAAUUCAUUGAAUAUGUUGCAUUCUUGUCUUUCUGUGGUAAGAUAUGAAAGAAUUAAUUCAGCUUUGCUUACGUGAGUAGUUAGUAAAUAUGUUGCAUUCUUGCUUUCUGUGGUAAGAUAUGAAAUAAUUAAUUUAACUUUAUUUUUGUACUGGAUUAGUACCAUCUUGGUAGUAGGAUAUCAUUAAUUACCUUUACUUAUCAAUUUUAUUUUGGUGGUUAGCUAUUUUGAUCAUUCUCCAUAUGUGAUGAGAUUCAAUCUUGUUUUGCUCUUCCAUCAGAUUGGCUUUUUCUGCUAGUAAAUUUGUUUUCAUGACCUGGAAACCUUGUUUGUGAAGUUGCAGUUCAUUGAUCUUGUAUAAUGUUCUGCUUGCUUCUACGCAACAAUUAAUAUUUAAGUCAUGCAAGUUGAGCUUGAUGUAUUUGAUUUGUCAAGUUUCCAUUUGUUAGAUAAUAUUCAUACUGAAAGUUUUGAGGAAGCUUUCUUUCGAUUAACGUUCCUUUCAGUGUUAAGAUCAUGACAAUACACUUUCUCUGAUGAUCAUGGAAGUGCAAGCCUAGUUAAAGCACAAAAGGAUUGAUGCAAUUAACGCAAGGGAUCAUGGGAAGUUCAAUGUAAUGACCAAAUUCUCUUUUAGUAAACAAAUUGUCACUCUUUUAUCAAUAUUUCACUGAACCAUAGUCAUAUUUAGUAUGCUACUUUUUCAAGCAUUGAUAGCAUGCACAAAACUUGUACCAUGCUGGUGUAAUUUGAGAAGUUGAUCUAGUGCAAUCUAGCUCCUUAUCCUGGUGCAUAAGAGGGUUUGAUCUGGUGCAAUCUAGCCCAUCAUUUCGGUGCACAAAUGGAUCUUUAAGCUUGUGCAAGUACGCGUGGCACAUAUGGAAGACUUCCAUUAUGAUCAAGGAAUAAAGAAAUUUGUUAAACAUGAAAAUGUAUUGGAUUCAAAUGAUUUUCCUCCUCCUAUGUAUUUACACUUUGAAACGAUAAAUUAGCAGUUGUAUUUGUUUUGAAUGUAAUGAAAUACAUUUUGCUUCAAUGGAUU
rnacentral:lncRNA from 1 species